rnacentral:rRNA from 1 species
UGCAAGCUGAUCCCCUUCGGGGGUGACGCUUGUGGAAUGAGCGGCGGACGGGUGAGUAACACGUGGGCAACCUGCCUGUAAGACUGGGAUAACCCCGGGAAACCGGGGCUAAUACCGGAUAAUACUUUCUUUUGCAUAAAGGAAAGUUGAAAGGCGGCUUCGGCUGUCACUUACAGAUGGGCCCGCGGCGCAUUAGCUAGUUGGUGAGGUAACGGCUCACCAAGGCGACGAUGCGUAGCCGACCUGAGAGGGUGAUCGGCCACACUGGGACUGAGACACGGCCCAGACUCCUACGGGAGGCAGCAGUAGGGAAUCUUCCGCAAUGGACGAAAGUCUGACGGAGCAACGCCGCGUGAGUGAUGAAGGUUUUCGGAUCGUAAAACUCUGUUGUUAGGGAAGAACAAGUUGGGUAGUAACUGACCCAACCUUGACGGUACCUAACCAGAAAGCCACGGCUAACUACGUGCCAGCAGCCGCGGUAAUACGUAGGUGGCAAGCGUUGUCCGGAAUUAUUGGGCGUAAAGCGCUCGCAGGCGGUCCUUUAAGUCUGAUGUGAAAUCUCGCGGCUCAACCGCGAACGGUCAUUGGAAACUGGAGGACUUGAGUACAGAAGAGGAGAGUGGAAUUCCACGUGUAGCGGUGAAAUGCGUAGAGAUGUGGAGGAACACCAGUGGCGAAGGCGACUCUCUGGUCUGUAACUGACGCUGAGGAGCGAAAGCGUGGGGAGCGAACAGGAUUAGAUACCCUGGUAGUCCACGCCGUAAACGAUGAGUGCUAGGUGUUAGGGGGUUUCCGCCCCUUAGUGCUGAAGUUAACGCAUUAAGCACUCCGCCUGGGGAGUACGGCCGCAAGGCUGAAACUCAAU